rnacentral:lncRNA from 1 species
GGGGAUGGAGCCUGUUCUGGAGUUUACCAACGGACGUGUGCGAUUCUCUUUACUUCUGUGGAUCUUAUUCUUACUGUGACCUAAACACGUCACCUUACUGUAACUGUAUUAGAGGGUUCGUUCCCAAGAACCGGCAGCGGUGGGACUUGAGAGACGGAUCACAUGGGUGUGUGAGGACGACGCAGAUGAGCUGUAGUGGAGAUGGGUUUUUGCGGCUAAACAAUAUGAAUUUGCCGGAUACUAAGACGGCGUCUGUGGAUCGGACAAUUGAUGUGAAAAAAUGUGAAGAGAAGUGUCUUAGCGAUUGUAACUGUACGUCGUUUGCGACUGCGGAUGUUCGAAACGGCGGAUUGGGUUGUGUGUUUUGGACCGGAGAUCUCGUUGAGAUCCGGAAACAAGCCGUCGUUGGUCAAGAUCUUUACGUCAGAUUGAAUGCUGCUGAUCUAGGUUGGUUUAUUCUCUUAAAACUAAACACAUCCAAUAUAGUCAUCAAUAAUUUAUACUUUUGUCCGGAUGAGGAAGUCUCCCUAUCUACUUUCUACGAAUUUGUUAAGUUAAAAAAUAUCAUGUGCGAAAUAUACAACUGAUGAUUAACGAGAAUGCUGGAUAAAAUAUUAAUAUGAUAUAAAAUAGUAGUUAUUAGCCCGUUGUAGAUAUAAGAUCGUACAUGAUUAAUUAAAUUGAAUAUAUUUUUCUGUUGGACAACUAAAUAAAAUUAUUUAAACACGAAUUUAUACAUGAAACGGGUCGGCUAAUAUUAGUAUGUAUGAUUACGAAUUAUGUUGAAGCAGAAAGAUUAAAUAGAUGAGAUAAUUCGGCAAAUACAAGGGAUGUGAUACGUGAACUGGACCAAAUACUUAAAAAAAAAAACUAUAACUCAUCAUUCCUGUCAUGUCAGGCGUCACUACCUACAUAAUACAGUAGUUUUUUUUUUUCUGUUUUCGCUCUCAUGUCGUCGAUCUCAUACUAAUUUCUUAACCCGUCGAAGUCAAUUUUUUUUUUUGUUUUAAGGCGCUGCAAGCCUGCCCAUUCAUGCCAAAUUAUAACUUCUCAAUUUUUUUACACGACUCUUUGCAGAUUUUUCCUCGGGUGAGAAGAGAGACCGAACUGGAACAAUCAUAGGUUGGAGUAUUGGAGUCAGCGUUAUGCUUAUUCUGAGUGUUAUCGUCUUCUGCUUUUGGAGGAGAAGACAGAAGCAAGCAAAAGCAGAUGCAACACCUAUUGGUAAAUGCGUAAUAACCUUCAUUUUAUUUUACUUUUCCGUAAAUUUUCGUUCUAUGUUUUGAUCCUUUAUGUGUUCGAAUGAAAAUAAUCUGUCUAGUGGGAAAUCAAGUUCUAAUGAACGAGGUGGUGUUACCAAGAAAGAAGAUACAUUUUUCUGGUGAGGACGAAGUAGAAAAUUUGGAACUUUCAUUGAUGGAGUUUGAAGCUGUUGUCACAGCCACCGAACAUUUCUCUGAUUUUAACAAGGUCGGAAAAGGUGGUUUUGGUGUUGUUUACAAGGUAUAAAUAAUAUGAAGGAAUCACUAUGAAUUUUUUUCUUUUUUUGUGAAAAACAUCAAUGGUGAAAACCCACUUAGAGUUUCUAAAAAAAUAUAGUUUAACAAAAUCAAUAUCUAAUCUAUUAAAACUGAAACACAAUUAGUACUUAACUCUAGUUUUUACUUAAUAUUUACAAUGGAAAUACUAUACUAGGCGUAUACACUGUGUUUUAUAACUUAACUAACGCGCCUAAUAAAUUUACGUCUACUUAAAACUUAAAUAACAAAACCGAUUGAACCUAAAAUCAUGUGGUUUGUUAAAUAAUAUAUGCAUCAGUUUAAUUUGGUCUGCAGAAAUCAAAACAAACAUGUUUCGGUACAAAAUAUUCCUUGGUUAAAUGUUAGUCUACAUAAACAAAACCAAAUUAUACAUAGUUCGGUUCACUACGUAAAAACAAAUUUUGUAAAUACUUAACCACAUAAUUUCGAUCCAAUAUAUAUAAUGAUUAAGAAAUCAUGUAAUUAUCAAGGAACUGUUUCUCGUCUUAACUAUUGUUUAAAUAUAGUUUUGUGUACUCGGUUUUUGUUAUGAACCGAAUAUUGUUAAUAUCAUGGUAUAUAUUAUGAUUCAUAUAGCAUGUAUAAAAUUGAAAUUAAUAACUUCGGGUAGUUAUUAUCAUUAUACUCGUGCAAAUCAAAACCGUCGAUUCCAAACAUUGAUAACAUUCCUAAAAAGUUUCCUAUUAUUACGCAUUCAUCUAAGAAUACAACUAACGCAAUCUACUUUCAAACUUGCAAAUCAUGUUUGGCUUAGCUUAGAAAUAAGAAUAUUAUGUUUAUUAUGAUGAUUAUCUAAAAGAAAUGUACAUUAAUUAAUUCAAAUACGUAUCUCCUAUUAUUCCUCAGAAUAAAGUCUACAAAAUAUCCCAAUAUAUCUAUAUCUAUACUAUUAUUUGCGAAUUGAUUUUUCACAAUAAAGCUCAAACGUUAAAAGUUAAAGCGGUUAAUAUCGUUUAUACCCUUAAUGGAUUUUAUAUAAUUAAAAACAAAUUUCAAGUUAAUAAUAGAUUUAUUUUCUAGAUAAUUGAUUAUAAAUUAAUAUUUUCAAAAAAAUAAAAAUAAUUCUUAUAUACAUUGUGUUGUUAUCUAAAAAUAAUAUUUUCUAUUAAAAAAUAAAAUUAAGAUAUAACAUAAUUUAUGAUUAAAUAUUAAUCAAACAAAAAUAUUUGUAUAAAGAUAUUUUCUAAAAUAUUUAUAAUAUCUGAGUAUCUAUAAAUUUCAACCCAAUAAUAAGCAUAUAUAUUUUGAUGAAAAUAUGUCAUAUAUCAAUAAUUUAAUGUUUGAUUUAAAAAAUUUAAAACAUAAAUAAUAAUUUAUUAUAUUGAGUUUUGAAUUAGUAAAUCGUAAGAAUAAUAUGACCGCAUGUGCUGGCAAAACACCUAGUAGAUAGUAAUAUAACUAUAUCUAAAACACAUAUUAUUGAGUGGGUUUACAUAUUUAUUUAAGACCAAUAUUUUCAUUAUAUUUUUGAUCGAAUAUCAUUUUCAAAUUAUAAACCACAAUAACUAAUCCUAUUGUAACCUAACUUAUUUUGAUUGUUAGUGUACAUGAUUUUUAAAUAUUAAUCAAAAUAAAAUUUCUACAUAAUUAAUAAUUAUGUGUUUGCUAAUAAUCUAAAAUUUAAUUAUACAUGCAAGUACCAAAUUUUUUAACAUAUAAAUUACUCAAACAAAUAAUAUUCAAAAAUGUAACAUAUUCUCUAAUUUAAAACUCUAGCUCAAAAUUAAUAAAAUAAUAAUAAUUAUAAGAAAAUGUGAUACAAAUGACAAUCUGAAAAAAAAAUUAUCGGAUUCACACCAUAUUUUUGGAAAAUAUAAUAAUAAUAUAUCAUUAAUUAUAUGGUAAAUGUUAAAAUAUAUAUCAUUAAUUAUAAAAAAAAUUAUUUUACUUAUAAAAAUUAAAAACAAACAUCCAUUCGGGGGGGGGAGCGAGUCAACGCUAGUUAACAAUUAAAAAGAUGACACACAGAAGAAAAAAUAAAAAAAAAGUCGUAUAUCUAUGUAGACAACUGGUUCUCUCUCUCGUCUAUUUUAUUUCUUUUUAAACGAAAAAUUUAGGGCUUGGAUAUUCUCAGGCCAUCAAAGAUCAUUGUUGGAGGUGUCCUAAGAGUUUUUAAUCUGAUAAGCAAAAUAAAAUAUUUGUCCAAAAAGUACAAUCACUAAACAUUUACAAUGAAUAAACAAUUUUUUUAAAAGAAGAAGCCGAUUUAUAGUAAACUGUUUACAAAAACACUACAGUAAAUUUAUAGAAAACUAUUGACUUACAAAUGUCGGAACUUUAUAUAAAAUAUGUAGAAUAAAUUAAAAUAACGAAAUAUAAAUGGGACAAGAACUUAUGACAAAAUAAAAGUUAUUUUUUUAUACUAUAAAACAUAAAUUAGUUAACAAUUAUGUGAAUGACAAGUAUUUUUUAAGAAAAUGAAACAAUUUACUUUCGGUAUUGUUUUGUAAAAGGUUUGUUAUUGUCAAAUUGUUUUUGAUAUUUAACUAUUAAUGAUUUUCAGUUAUCCAGCAUAACUAUUCUCCCAUUAUCUAUACUCCCAUGAUCUGCACUUCUUUUGUUAAGAGUGUGAUUUUAUCAAAAUAAUAUUUCUUUUACAUCAUAAGAAUGCACGUGCGUGAUUUUUUAUCAAAAUAAUUAUUCUUUUGCAUCCGAGAAGAUUAAGGUUACAAUCUUAAAUAUAACUAGAUUUCCACCCGCACAACCGUGCGGGUAUAUAUUUUCACAUUUAUAUAUAUACAUAUUUGUUUUACAUAAUUAUUAUAUAUUUUUAAUGUUACUCACAUAUUUAAAUGUUUGUAUAAUUAUGUCAAAUAUAAUAAUUUUAUAGUUUUCAUGCUGUAAAUUAAAAUCAUCACAUUUAUAUGUUGCUUAUUAUAUAUUUGUCUUAUUGAAUUUGCGUUUGAUUACUAAACUAAAUUUUUUAAUGCGUGAAACAACAUAUAUGAAAACAAUUUUGUAUUUAGUUUAUUAUAAUCAUGAUCCGUAAUUCAAAUCCCUAGAUUUUUUUAGUAAUUUUUUAAUGUUUAUUAAUUUUAUAUAAUAAAUUACUGUAUAUUAAAAAGUUUAAGAUAAGUUCAAUUUUUAUGCAUAUAUUAUAUAGUUUACUAAUAUUAAUCCGUUCUACCAACAUAUUAUAUUUUUAGCAUAAAUAUUUUAUAUUUAUGAAAAUAAAAUAUGUUAACUUAUCAAUUUAAAAUAAUUUAAUCAUAUUUUCUUCAAUAUAACAUUUUUAUUUUAAAAUGAUAGAUAUUAUUAUAAAAUUGAUAAAAUAGGAUAUAAUUUUAUUCUUUUAGUAACAUUUCAUUACUAAUUACAAAAUUAGUUGAAAAUAUUUAUAUUCAAUUUAUGACAAUUAAGAUCUUAUUAUAAUCUUUUUCAAGAGAUUUGUUAGAAUUUUAAUUUUUUUUUAAAUUAAAAGAUAUUAUGAUUAAAGUAGUUAAAAAUAUUAUGUAUAUUAGCAUUAGUGAUAUACAUUUAAUAUAAAAUUUAAAUGAUGGUCCAAAUAAAAAUAUCACUCAUCAAAAAAUCAUGAUUUUUAUUUUAUUAGAAAACAAAUUUGCAAAAAAUUAAAAUAAAAAUAAAUAUUUAUUUCUAACAAAAUCUUUAAAAAUUAAUUUCAUUUUAUUUAAAUUUUCGUUUAUAAACCAAAAAUAUAUUCAAUUUUAAUUUCUAAUUAUAUUUUAUGAUAAUUUAAAUUAAAACUAACUAAUUUUUGAAAGUAAAUUUAAAAAGAUUCUAAGAAGAUUUUAAAAAGAUUUUGUUAGAACAUUUUAAAUAUAUUCAUUUGUAUUUCAAAUAAAAUGAUAAAGAUAUUAAAAGAUAUAAUAAUGAACUUAUGUAAAAUAUGAUAUUUUCUAGGAAUGGUCCAAACUAAAAAAAUCACACAUGAAAAAAAGUCAUGACUUCUGUUUUAAUAUAUAAGAUAUUUUUUUAUUAUUUAUUUCUAUUUUCUACAAGCAUUUCAAUAUGAUUUUUAAUAUUUAUGUACUAUCUUUUGUCUCAAACUUUAAUUAGAACAACUUAUAUUAUUGGUUCAUGUUUCAUUUGAUCCAUUACAACUUUGCAAGUUUGUAAUUGUAUGUAGUCUUCUAUGGAUUUAUUAUUAACAUAGCGUAUUGCAUCUUUAAUUGGACCGUUAUUUUUCUCUUGAAUAGCAAGGACCAUAAUACUAGUAAUAAAUAAAAUAAACUAAACAUAAACAAGUGGGAUACAAAGAAAAUGUGAAUUUUGUUAAGAGAAACAUAUAGUUUAAAAUAUGCUCCUAAUUUUUAUUUGAAAUCAAAUGCCUUAAUUAUUGUUUUUUUUAUUGAAUAGACACUGCUCUGUUGGUUUUGUAUAAGUGAUCAAUUAUGUGUUACCAGGGAAGGUUAGUUGACGGGCAAGAAAUUGCAGUUAAGAGACUAUCAGAAAUGUCAGCUCAAGGUACCGAUGAGUUCAUGAACGAAGUCAGGCUAAUUGCAAAGCUUCAGCACAAUAAUCUUGUCCGACUUCUUGGCUGUUGUGUUUAUGAGGGCGAGAAGAUCUUAAUUUACGAGUACUUGGAGAAUCUAAGCCUCGACUCUCAUCUCUUUGGUUAGUGCCUCAACACAUCAGACAGAUUUAUUUUUACAGUUAAAUGUCUUUGGAUAUGUUAAUGUGAUUCUGUUGUGAACGUACUGCAGAUGAAACCAGGAGCUGUAUGUUAAAUUGGCAAAUGAGAUUUGAUAUUAUCAAUGGUAUUGCCCGAGGGCUUCUGUAUCUUCACCAAGAUUCACGGUUUAGAAUCAUCCAUAGGGAUUUGAAAGCAAGCAAUGUCUUGCUUGAUAAAGAUAUGACUCCAAAAAUUUCAGACUUCGGAAUGGCAAGGAUCUUUGGACAAGAUGAGACGGAAGCUGACACGAGGAAGGUGGUCGGAACUUAGUAAGCAAUUAAAGCAUCUUUGUAUUUUGAAACAAAGACUUACCUGGGUACAGAAUCAAAACCGGAUAGCUUAUCUAUUUAAUAUUUGUUAUGCAGUGGCUACAUGUCUCCAGAAUAUGCGAUGAACGGGACAUUCUCGAUGAAGUCAGAUGUGUUCAGUUUUGGGGUCUUGCUUCUUGAAAUUAUAAGUGGCAAGAGGAACAAAGGCUUCUGCGACUCGGAUAGUAAUCUUAAUCUUCUCGGAUGUGUAAGCUUGAAACCUCUUAAUUCGAUUGUGUUUUGACGAAAUCACUAAGAAAAGAUCCUACCAUUAUCCACAGGUGUGGAGAAAUUGGAAAGAAGGUCAAGGUCUAGAGAUAGUAGACAGGGUCAUCAUAGAUUCUUCAUCACCAACGUUCAGGCCACGUGAAAUCUUAAGAUGCUUACAAAUUGGCCUCUUGUGUGUUCAAGAACGUGUAGAGGAUAGACCAAUGAUGUCGUCAGUAGUUUUGAUGCUCGGAAGUGAAACUGCAUUGAUUCCUCAACCUAAACAACCAGGUUAUUGCGUCAGCCAAAGUUCUCUGGAAACUUAUUCUAGUUGGAGUAAACUGCGUGACGAUGAAAAUUGGACAGUGAACCAAAUCACCAUGUCGAUCAUUGACGCUCGGUAAUAUGAUAGUCUUUGAUAAUAUUCUCAUUAUUAAAGUUUUACUAAAUGGAAAAAAUGAGUUUAAAAAAUGAGUGACAAUGCGUGCGAAACUCCUCAGUCUCUAUCGAAAUUUUCAUUUAUCCUCUGAUAUUCUCUCGAUCUGGUUUCUUUAUUUCGAGUCAACUCACAGUCAGCAACUGCAGCAACCAUCUCAACACGUCAACACCGGCAAUUCAAAGACAACCACAUUACAUAUUUUUUACUCUGUUUUUGUAAGCUACAUGUUAAUUGUGUGUAUUUUACGCGUAAAAACAGUCAGGAUACACCUAUUUUAUGUUGAGUUAUGUUCAUAUCUUUCACUAUUACAUAUCUUGCAUUAUUUCAGGACACACCUUAUUCGUGUAAACAUUUGGGACAAAUAUACACAUAUCCUGGUUUAAACCCACAUUUACUUGUCUAAUUUUAGUAUAAAAUUGUUCAAAAAAAAUUAUAAUUAGUGAAAUAAUCAUAACAAUAGAGAGGCUAGAAUAUAGUGUAUUUAUAUAAUAUUUAUUAAUUACUUUGUAUGCCCUUCGCAAUUUGAACCACAUUUUUUUUUUUUUGGUUUUAUAUGUUGUUUUAAAUUGUUUACCCCUUUAUCAUUUGUCUAUCUUUAAUCCCUUUAAUAAUUUGUUUACAAAAAACAAUGAUGAUGAAAAAAAAUUCUGCAUUUUUGUAAAAACAAUGAUGCUGUAAUAUAUCAAAACUUGUUUUGUUUAAAAUGGAUAUAUAUUUCUAAAAAUUAUAUAAUCUGUUUUAAAAUAAAAAUAUUAUAUUUUAUAUCUAUUAUAUAGAAUAAAAUAUUUUCAAUAGAUUAUGUAAUAUAAAAAAACUUUGUGGUUUAUACUAACUUAACUAUUUAUAUAUAAUAGUUUAAUUUUACUAAGAACGUGUAUAAUAUACAUUUACUAUAGAUUUUUUUCAUAAUUUUUCAUUUCUUGUUUUGUUCUUCCAAACAACUAUCAUGUAAUUGGAUAUAGUAUAUUGUAUAAAAUAUAAAAUAUAUAUUUUAGUGGCACAAUAUAUCACAUUACAAUAUUUUCUCUUCUUACUCUUCAUCUUCUCCUCUCUUUUCUUUAUUCUCCUUUUUUAGUUUUUCUUCCUACCUUAUUUUCAUCCGUCUUGUCCUCCUCACCCAUCUCUUCUUUUUCCUUCUUUAUCUUGUCUUUGUUCUUUUUCAUUGCUCAUCUUUCUUUCUUGUUUCUCUUUUUUUUUUCUGCUAAUCUUCUACCUCUGUUUUAAGAGCACAAUAUAAUAUGUAACAAUAUGUUCAUUUCAUUUUCAUUUUUAUUAACUUUUUCCCUAAUUUCUCUUUCGCCAUUUGUUUUUCUUCCCCUCUUACUCUUCUUUCUCGUCUUGUUCUUCCUCACCUUUUUUUCUUCACCUCACUACAUUUUUCCUUCUGAUUUCUCCUUCUUCUCACUCCUCACUCUUCACUCCUCUUCCUCCACCUACUCCAACUUUCUCACUUUUUCUACCAUGUGUUCUACAUUUUCCUAUUUCUCUUCAUUCUGCACUCUUCACUCUCCUUUUUAACUCCUCUUUUUUCUUCCUCCUUCUAUACUUCUCCCUCUUGCUCCUCCCUAUUCACUCCUCAUUUCUCUCUUUCCAUUUCCUUGUACUAUUAUUAUUGUUAUAUUACUAAGGAAAUCAAAUUCUUAAUUUUUAGUUACAUUUCUGUUUAAAAAAUCUAUUUUAUAUUUGAUAUUAUAGAUAAAAGAGUAUUCUGUUUUUGUGUGUGUUGAAUAUACAUAUGCGCUGUAAAAAUUGCAAUGUCCAGUUGUAUUGUAAAUUGACACAUAUUUUAAGAGAUGGUUAUUUUGUAGAUUAUUAUCGUAUAAUGGUUAUAUAACAAGUUAACCCUAUGUUAAUUGUCACUCUUUUUCACGUGAACAUUUAGAACACACCUUAUUUGUGUAUAUCUUUGUGACUGAUAGACUCACAUGUAGUCUAUAACGUGUCAAGUAACAACAAAUGUAUACAUGUAUAAGGUGUGUUUCUGAAUGUUUACGUGUAAAGAAAGCCACUUAUAAUAUAUAUGAGCAUAAAUAUAUAUUUUACCAAAACACACAUAUAUAUUAAAUAUAUUUUACUAUACCAAUUUAUAAUUAUUCAUCUUCUUUAAAUAUUAAAAUAAAUUGCAUUUUAAAUCAUGAAGUUGGCAAAAAAAUAGCAUUUUAAAUCUUUGAGUUCAAGUAUUAACAUUUUAAACAAUAAAAACAGAUUCAGUAACGUAUUAAACAUUGAAACUAACUUACUUGUUUAACAUGUUAAAAUUAUGAUAGGUAGUGUUUAUUAACAUGUAAAAAUAAGUGAUAUGACGGUUUUUCAAAAAAAAAAAUUAAUAAAAAAAUUAAUAAAAAUUAAAAAUUAAAUAAAACUACAAAAUAAAUUGUAGACAUCGAUAAAAAUUUGAAAUUCGCACAAAUUCACAAAAUGAAAAAAAUCAGGAAAAAAUAAAAAUUUGAAAUAUUGAAAAUGAAAAAUAUUUUAAAUAGAAAUAUAUAUUUUAGUAUUCAACCAAAAGUUUUAAAAAUCCUAUAUAUCUCAUGAUAUCUUGUUAACGUGAUAUGAUUAAAUUCGUCACCAACACCGUUAUGUCGGAAAUAAUCUUUAUCAAUAUACACAUGUCGGAAUUUAAAAAAAAAAAAUCUGUGAAGGCGAGGUUUUAUGACAUAUCAAUGAUUUUCAAUAUAUCAACAUUUAAAAAAAAAUAUUUUUAUAAACCAUAAUCUUCACAGUUUUGGUAAUUUUUAUAAAAUAUUAUCACAUAUGACUAUUGACAAUGUUGGUUUUCAAAAUAGCGGUGAUACUGACGAAUUUAUAAAGUUUUUGUUGAUUUUAAAAAUUUUUAAAUUAUAUUUUUUUCAUUUUCAAUUUCAGUUUUUUUGAAUAUUUUCUUAAAUUAUUGUUUUUUAGUUUUAAAUUUCCUUAUUCAUUUUUAUUUUCCUGACUUUUUUUAUUUUUACAAUUUUUGAAUUUUUGUUUGUUUUUGUUUGUUUUUAUUUAUUAAAAUAAUUGAUAAUCUUUUAAAAAAAAUACACCGCCACAUCACACAUUUUUACGAGCUAGUGGUCGUAAUUUUGAUGUAUCAAACAAGUAAGUUAGUUUCAAUGUUUAAUAUGUUAUUGAAUCUAUUUUCAUUGCUUAAAAUGUUAGAAGUUGUAUUCAAAAUUUCAAGUGUAAAUUUUCGUCAACUUCAUGACAUUAAGGGUGUGACUGGUGACCAAGAAAAUUAUAUCAAUUCUUCGUUAUGAAACAAAUCAAUUCUUCGUUAUGAAACAAAUCAAUUCUUCAUUAGUUUUGAUAAGGAACCAUUAUUCCUCAUCAUUCCUAAAAUUUUGUUCUUACUCAUUCUUUUCAUAUUCGUUCUUAUUGUUCCUAUGAUGGUUACCAGUCACACUCUAAAAGAAACAAGGAAUUUCCGACUACGGCUUUAGUAGGUAAUCAUCGCUCACAAAUUAUAUCAUUUGAAAAUCAGUCUCUACUUUACGACUGAUUUACGAGCACAAUAAUCAGUUGGCAAAUGGUCGUAAUUAGUUAUGACUGAAUUACGACAUAGUCACGUCUGGUCUACGAGUGCCAUUGUAGUCUACAUUUAGUCGGUUUUGGACCUGUUCGUUUCUCCAUCCGGAUGAGCUAUCUGGAUGAAGAUGAGAGUUUUGUUCGUUUAAGCACUAAAAAUGCAACUCAUUUAGAUGGAUCAUCCGGAUAACUUGCAGAAAUUUAGGCUUUAUUUUAAAGUUCAUUCAGCUUAGCUAAUUUGGAUCAUCUCGAUGGAGAUGGUUCAUUCAAUAUGGUAUAAUGUCUAUUAUGCUCUUGAUGUAAUUCAUAAAUUACAAACAUAAACAUAAUAUCAUUUUGUCACAUACAAAAAACUAACAAAACCACAAAAAAACAUUUUUCUGCGAAAACCUAAAACGAUUUUUAACGCCUAAACCCUAAAAAUGUAUUUCCGUACAAAAUUGCAAAAACGUAUUUCUCUCCAAAAUUGCAAAAAUGUUUUUUCCGCAAAAAAUCGCAAAAACGUGUUUUCAUGCCAAAAUCACAAAAAAACACGUUUUCACGCCAAAACACCAAAAUGUAUUUUUCCGCCAAAACACAAAAACAUAUUUUCCCGCCAAAACCAAAAAAUGUGUUUUCUCAUCAAAAUGCAUUUUCCGCCAAAUCCACAAAACGUGUGUUCCCGCCAUAUAGUGAUUUUCCGCCAAAACCGAAAAAUGUGUUUUCUUAUCAAAAUGCAUUUUCUGCCAAAACUGCAAAAUGCAUUUUCUCGUGAAAACCGCAAAACGUGUUUUCCGCAAAACCGCAUUUUCCCGCAAAAACCGUAAAAACAUGUUUUUCCGCCAAAAUGCAUUUUCCUGCGAAAACCGCUAAAAAUGUAUUUUCCCACCAAAACACAUUUUCUGCGAAACCCGAAAAACGUGUUUUCAUACCACAACUACAAAAACGUGUUUUCACGCCAAAAUCACAAAACGCAUUUUCCCGCCAAAACGGUAAAACAUGUUUUCUCGCCAGAACCGAAAAUUGUCGUUUUCCUGCACAAACUGAAAAAUCUUGUUUUGUCGCCAAAACAAAAAAAAAUUCGUUUUCCCGCCAAAACCGAAAAACGUGUUUUCCCGCCAAAACUGAAAAUCUUUUUUUCUGCCAAAACCGCAAAAACGCGUUUUCCCACCAAAACCACAAAACGUGUUUUUUCACCAAAACCAAAAAUUGUAUUUUUCCGCCAAAAACGAAAAAUCUUGCUUUCGCGCCAAAACCGAAAAAUCUCAUUUUUCCGCCAAAACCGAAAAAUUUCAUUUUUCCGCCAAAAACCGAAAACACGUUUUCCUGCUUAAACCAAAAAAAAACUCAUUUUCUCGCCAAAACCGCAAAAAUGUGUUUUUCCACCAAAAGCAAAAAAAUUUAUUUUCCCGUUAAAAUAAAAAAAAUCUUGUUUUCUCGCCAAAAUCGAAAAAUCUUGUUUUCCCGUCAAAAUCAAAAAAUCUCGUGUUCCCUUCAAUACCAAAAAACCUCGUUUUCCGCCAAAACAGAAGUUACAGUCAGUUUAUUAUUAAUACUCUUUUUAGUUUGAAACUCUAAAGUUUUUUUUCGAAUACAUGUUUAUCAUUUUUUUUUGUUUAUUAGAUGUUAUUAUUGUAGUAAAUUAGGAAGCAUACCAAAGAACUUAUUCAUUAUUAGCUAUCUACCAAACUCUACUAUUUUGACACUGUUGGCUUUUUUCUUGGACUCUGAUGCCCCUAUGUAGAUGUAAACAGCUCUACGAUUGCUUUUGACGAUAUCUUACAAAAGAUUUGAUGAAAUCUUAUUGGGAUUUUUGCAAAAUUGACCUACAACUUAAAGUCAAACACAAAACUAACCUCCCUUUUUUUUGAAAAUUGGUUUUGCCCUAUUCACCCCACAAGUUCAUAUAAUUUACGAAAAUGCCAUCAAUUUUUUUUUUCUUUUUUUUUCGAAAAUGACAUUUUUACUCUCUCACCCUCAUCAUCUUCAAGUAAUUACAAGAUUGCCAUUGUCAUCAAUACCACAACCACCAUGAACAACCAAUUUGAAGCUCUUAAUGCUCCCAAAAUCGAUUUACCCUUCUUCUUUUUCCAUUCUUGUGAACUAAACACAACAUAUCUCUCAAUUUCUCUCCACAAUGAGCUAAAAAAACCCAAGAUUUUGAUUCUAAAUUUUUUAUGGUUCAUAGAGUCAUAGAAGCUAACAAUUAUGGGUGGGUGACUUUCGUUUGUGAUUCUGUGUGCUUGGAGAAGCCUUAUGUAUGCUAAGGAACUUAUCUCACCAAUUUAAGGUAUGACAUCGAGUUUUUUUCCAGAUCUGUUCGUCAGACGACUUACUUGGGAAGUCGUCUGGCUGUAGACGACUUACCUUUCAGUCGUCUGGCUGUAGACGACUUACCUGGAAGUCGUCUGGUCAACGCAGAGGUUAUUUUUACAAUUGACUUUGAAAUCUGUAACCUGAGACGACUGAAAGUUAAGUCGUCUACUAUUGUUUGGAUUCAAAAAAAAUUCCAAAGAACCUAGACGACUUACAUUUCAGUCGUCAUAGGUUAGUUUUGCAUUUGACUGGAUAAUUUCAGAAGUUUGACUUCCCCAGACGACUUACAUUUCAGUUGUCUGGCGAAAAUUAAAAUAAUAAUAUUUUUUUAAAAGUAGACGACUUAAAGUUAAGUCGUCAUAGGUUAGUUUUGCAAUUGAAAAAAAAAACUUCAAGAUUUAAUUAUACACAGACGACUUAUAAUUCAGUCGUCCACCAGACGACUUAAUUGUAAGUCGUCCAGGACUUUUUUCCGAGAUUCUGGUCAAACCUCGUAAAUCCUAGACGACUUACAUUUCAGUCGUCUCGUGGACGACUGAAUUAUAAGUCGUCUGUAUAUAAUUAAAUCUUGAAGUUUUUUUUUUCAAUUGCAAAACUAACCUACGACGACUUAACUUUAAGUCGUCUACUUUUAAAAAAAUAUUAUUAUUUUAAUUUUCACUAGACGACUGAAAUGUAAGUCGUCCAAAAAGUCAAACUUCUGAAAUAAUCCAGUCAAAUGCAAAACUAACCUCUGACGACUGAAAUGUAAGUCGUCUAGCUUUUUUGGAGUUUUUUUUUUAACCAAACAAUAGUAGACGACUUAACUUUCAGUCGUCCGAAAUAACAGAUUUCAAAGUCAAUUGCAAAAAUAACCUCUGCGUUGACCAGACGACAUAUAGUUUAGUCGUCUAGACAACUUAGAUUGAAGUCGUCCGCGUCUUCUCCACUAGUUUUUAAGUCUUCUACGUUAGUUUUUGAAUAACUUGUAUUUUUAAGAAUGAUAAGUAACUUCAAGAUAUGUAAAACUCAUAUUUACAAAAUAUGUUCUCUCCCUUAGUUUUACUAAAUUUGACUAAGUUUUUCAAUGCAAACUUAUAAAAAAUAUGAUAUGCUUUGACUAGUUACUAUUGUUUGUUUCCAUCUCUUACCAACAUUCUUGUUUAUUAUGAUGAGAAAAAGGCCAUUGGAGUUUAUUAUUGCAUAUGAGAGAUCCAAAGAUAAGAAAAAGGCUACUGAAGUCUAUUAUUUCAUUGAUUUGUAAAUGUGUAAACACAUUGUUAGCACAUUUAAUACAUCUUGGAAAAUAUUAUUACUGAUUUUACAAAAAAUUCACAACUAAAAGAGUAUACAUGCAAUUCACAACUUGAGUAGAUGAGUAGACAAGACCAGACAACUUGAGUAGAUGAGUAGACAAGACCAGACAACUUUUAAGAAGUCCAGAUGACUUCUAAGAAGUCCAGACGACUUCCAGGAAGUUCAGACGACUUUUAGGAAGUCCAGACGACUUCCAGACGACUUUACAGGAAGUCCAGACGACUUUACAGGAAGUCCAGACGACUUCCAGACGACUUUACAGGAAGUCCAGACGACUUUACAGGAAGUCCAGACGACUUCCAGAUGACUUUACAGGAAGUCCAGACGACUUUUAGGAAGUCCAGACGACUUCCAGACGACUUCCAGACGACUAACAAGUAAGUCGUCCCAAAAGUCUUCCAGAUCUGAAAAACCUGCAUAUUAAAUCCAGAUCUGAAAAACCUGCAUAUUCAAAAACGUUCAAAUGGCUUAAAAACAGAAAAAAUGAAUGGAAGAUUAGAUAAAUCUACCUUUAUAGAACACACAAAAAUACAUAUCUAAAAAUAAUAGAUCUACCUUUAAAUUAGUGGAAGAUGAGUACCAUCUAAUUAAAAACCUGCAAAAAAAAAUAGAUUAGUAACAAAGACAUGAGACAAAAUUGAAAAAUUCAUAUAAAGUUUGGUGUUUUCAAGUCAAAGAGAUUAAAGUGGGUUUGGAGAGUUUUAGUUUGGGAAAAAAGUAAGAACUUUAUACAACAAGAAGUUACCAAAUGAAGAAAAAUCAGACAUAAGAACUUACCAAAACGCUCAGAAAAAUCCAGACGACUUCCUAGAAGUCCAGACGACUUCCUGGAAGUCUAGACGACUUCCUGGAAGUCCAGACGACUUCCUGGAAGUCCAGACGACUUCCUGGAAGUCCAGACGACUUCCAAGAAGUCCAGACGACUUCCAGACGACUUCCAGACGACUUCCAGACGACUUCCAGACGACUAACACGUAAGUCGUCCCAGAAGUCUUCCAGAUCUGAAAAACCUGCACAUCAAAUCCAGAUCUGAAAAACCUGCAUAUCCAAAAACGUUCAAAUGACUUAAAAAUAGAAAAAAUGAGUGGAAGAUUAGAUAAAUCUACAUUUAUAGAACACACAAAAAUACAUAUCUAAAAUUAAUAGAUCUACCUCUAAAUUAGUGGAAGAUGAGUACCACUUGAUUAAAAACCUGUAAAAGAGAUAGAUUAGUAAGAAAUACAUGAGACAAAACUGAAAAAUUCAUAUAAAGUUUGGUGUUUUCAAGUCAAAGAGAUUAGAGAGAGGUUGGAGAGUUUUAGAAUGAUGAACAUUACAUUUUUGUUGCAGCCAUUUGAGAGGAGGAGAGAGAAUGUGUAAAUUUUUCUUUAUAUAGGGAGGCAAAAAAUCUAAUUAGGUUAAAUAUUUUUGACUCAGACGACUUCCUGGACGACUUACAUUUCAGUCGUCUGGUGAAGAAAUUAAAACAGACGACUUACAUGUAAGUCGUCCAGAAGAGUUUAAUAUUUUUAGCGGGAAAUUAAAUAUUUUUAGUGGGAAACUAAAAUAGAAGACUUUCCAGACGACUUACAAGUAAAUCGUCUGGACGACUUACAAGUAAGUCGUCUGGACGACUGAAAUAUACGUCGUCCGGGUAAAUUAUUCAACAGACGACUGAAAUAUAAGUCGUCCACACCCUAAACAUAACCCCUAAACUUAAUUAUCUAAUUAAACACUUCAUAAAACCAAAUCAAACUUGAAAAGUGUUUACUAUACACAGAAAUAAACACAUAUAAGUGAAAACUAAUUUCUGAAAAAAACAUUUUAGUUUUCCAAAAUCUAACCCUAACAAUCCAUACAAUACUACAACAUAUGUUUGCCAAACUCCUAAACCAAAGUAUUUCAUGAUUCACUACUUCCACUCAUCUAUCUUCAAAACAAAUCAAUUUUAUCAUAUCUUAAUUUAUAUCACUUAAAACUGUUUAUAAUUACUUGAUUUUUAUUUUUCACGCAUCAAAAUAUUUUUUACAAGAUUUAUAAAUUAUUUUUAAAAUAAGCUGGUACCAGACGACUGAAACUUCAGUCGUCUAGACGACUUCCAACAAUUCAGACGACUCAGACGAUUUACUGGGGCUAUAUUCGUAAAAAUGGCUUCUGUUUUUUUGUUUGGUCACAAGGGGCUGAGCUGUAAUUUCACUAGGCUUUUAGGUUAGUUUUGCAUUUGAUUCAAGUUUGGGUAUAGGUUUGGGAUUAAAAUCAAGUUGUGGGUUAGUUUUGGCAAAAACCCCAAUCUUAUUCUCUGCAUUCAUAUCUUUUUUAACAAAUCAUAUGUAUUCAUAUCUCUUACUUGUUCUUACAUCUAAAUAAUUUCUUCUCUUUUCUAUCACUCCAAAUUUUCGAAUUUAAAAAUUUUUCUUUCCCUGUUUUCCCUCACAUACUCCAACUUGUAAUUGCUUGAAUCAUCUUUUAUCUUUUCUCUCUGUUUUGAGUUUUGUUUUACAACCGUUACAAAUCUUCACAUGUGUCCAAGUUCUUUUUGGUUUGACAUUUUUUUGGAUGAAUGGUUGUUAUGGAGGAAGAAGCAUCGUACUCCGAUAGUGCUCUGAAAAAACUCAAGCUCUGGUGGUGCACUGAAAUCUCAAUCUCGUCACAUUAACUGCGUCUCCGGUGAAGUCUCUCCCGUAACGUCUCCUAUGAAGCUCUAAGUCCAUGCGUCUUUGGUGAAUUUUGUGGACUCUGCGUAUCUGGUUGAAGAUCUCCGCCUCUGCGUCUCCGGUGAAUCUUUCAGUAGAUGCCUCUCCGGUGAAGCUCUUCGGCGCUGCAUUUCCAUUGAAGCUCUCCGCCACUGAGACUCCUUUGAAACUCUCCAUCACUGCAUCUACGUCUUAUAUAUAUUAUGUGUUGUUAUAUAUUGUACCUAUAUGUUAAACCACAAUCUUGUUUAAACCAUAUGCUCUUUUUUGGUUUGAAGUAUAAGUGAAGAUCUUGUUUAUUAACUAUGUAAAUAUUUUAUUAACGGUAUAACAAUCGGAAAUUACCAACAAAUCCAAUUUUAAUCUGAGGUAACUCAUUUUCUAAAGAUGUAAAUAUUAUAUUAGCUGUCUAAUAAUUUGACAUGUAUUAAAGGUGAAGCCCUCCACCACUGGUGAACCUAUCUGCCGUCUCCAUUGAGGCUCCCUGCCUCUGCAUCUCCGGUGAAGCCCUCCACCACUGCGUCUCCGUCUGAUAUAAAUGAUAUAUAUAUAUAUAUAUAUAUACAGUACCUUUAUGUUAAGCAACAAUCUUGUUUAACCACAUGUUAUUCUCUGGUUUGACAUAUAAGCAAAAAUCUUGUUUAUUUACCGUAUAAAUAUUAUGGUAAAGAUAUAACAACUUGACAUUACCAACAAAAAUUUUUUAAUCUCAAGUAACUCAUUUUUAAAGGUGUAAGUAUUGUAUUAGCCCUUCAAGAAUUUAACAUAUACCAACAAAUGCAUGUACCUAAACAUUAUUCAUAUUUUCAUUUCAUGUCAUUAGCUAUGAAUUUGAUUAUUAUGAUAUCAAAGAAUGUGAUAUACAUUCAAGCAAGUUGUAUCUCAAAUAACUUAUUGUUAACUGUAUAAAUAUUAUAUUAAUUGUCUAACAAAUUGACACUACCAGCAAAUCAGUUCUUAUUUUAUUACUCAGUCUUAACUUAUUUUUAAUUACAAAAUAGGCCAAUCAUUCAUAUAGCUGGCUAAAGAUAUAAUUAUGCAGUGUAUAUUUUUAUCAAUACGACCAUAUCAUAAUUUGGAUGGUUACAAAAGAGUAUACACUCGUGUACAUCAAAUCCAUAACCAUGCUAUUUGAUGUUUAACUAUAGCUAACUAUAACUUUACAUGGCUAAUAAAUUUGACUUUAAUAUUUUGUUUGAUCUUUGCUCACCAAAUGAUUAAGUAGCCAUCUAACAUGCAAUUGCACACGUGCCCAAAUAUAUAUAUACAGGCUAUGAUAUAGUUCUGUAGUCUAUAUAUUCAUCUUUAAACCAUAAUAUAGCUUGUCUGGCUAAAAAGGAUUGUACACUUGUGUACUUGUUUUCUAUUAGAACAAUAACGAGCGUAAAAGAAGUUAAAAUAACUUAUUGGCGUAAUAAAAACUGAAACAAGAGUAAAAAAGUUUUCCAUUCAUAUUAUCUAGCUAACUGUGACAUCCAGCCACACUCUAAAUGUUUAAGUAGCUAACUAACAUGCAAUCGUAUACAUGUACAAUGUCAAUGUCUCACACUCAGUCUAGAGUUUCUUUAGUACCAAAAUUGUCCAAUAUACUUAUAGCUGGCUAAGAUAUUGUUCUGUAGUGUAUAUUUGAAAUCAAUACGACCAUAUCAUAAUUUGGAUAGCUAAAAAAGAUUAUACACAUGUGUACCUUAGUUCCAUAAUCAUGCCACUUGAUUGCUAAACUGUUGGGGAUGGAUUUAACCCAUCCACAAAGCCCAUCGAACAAAGGGCCCAGUCCAGCAAACCGAGUCGACAUCGGCGCAGAAGCCGAUUCUCGAGAGAUCGACUCGACAGGGAGCGCUGAUAGUCGAAGCAGAGAGCAAGCGGAGCGAGGUUGAUCGACUCAACGGCUCAGCGAGCAUCUCAUAAUCAGGCCCGAAAGGCCGACAAAGCCCAAUUAGUAAAAAGAGUUUAGGUUAAGGUAAUCGAACAGAGUAUAAAAGGAGAGGAAAGCAAAGGAGAAAGGCAUCGACACUUAGCUACACAAACUUAGCGGCGAGAUUAGGGUUUAUCAUCCGUACAAUCAUCUCUCUGCUAUUUGUACUUUUCCGGUUUAAGCUCUCACGAGCUCCGGCUUGCUUUUACUUUCUCCACCUUUGUAACAUCAUCUCGAAAUCUAAUAAACGCCUCUGUUCGACCCAUUUCUAGUAUUGUUUACUUCUUCUGAGACCAAACUCACCUUAAACAAUUGGCGCCCACCGUGGGGCAGGACAGACCCAGCGUUUCUAGACCGAUAUGACCACCGGAGGUACGAACCCUGAUACCUCAGGAGAGGAGCCGGCACUCACGCCUCCUCCGCCUCCUCCCCUCCUCUCGUCGGAAUUCAUGAGUUCAGUCAUAGCCCGACUUGCUCAUCAAGAAGAAGUUCAGAAGACGACGAAUGAUCAGCUCGCCGCCAUUGUCGCUGCUCUUAGCGCCUCCACCGGCAACUCACAACCGCUCCGUCGUUACCUCUUCAAUACAAACCCUCCUACUCCGGCAGAAGGACGAACGACGAACCCAGUCGAUCCCACUCUUCAACUCGCGGAAACCCUAGCCGCCGAUGCUUCUCCUGCAGCGUCAGACCCAUCAACUAUCCGAGAAAUCGCUGAGCUCAAACUAAAUUUCCAACAAAUGAGCUCGAGGAUCCACCAAGCAACGAGCGCAGUACCCGAGAUUGACAGUGUCAUCGCAUCAACAUCGCGUACUCCUUUCACCGAGGAACUGACGGAGGUCAAACUCCGAAAGAUGGACAAGUUGCGUCUUCCGGAAUACAAACCAGGAGGAGAUCCCGUCGAGCACUUGACGGCUUUUAAUAUUGCGGUAGCGAGGGCCAGACUCGCCCCCGAUGAAAGAGACGCGGGAUACUGCCAACUUUUCAUUGAAACACUCAACGAGCAAGCCUUAACCUGGUUCUCGGGACUCGAAGAGAAUUCAAUUAGAAGCUUCAAAGAGCUCUCCUCGGCUUUUCUCAAGACUUAUAUCAUGUUCACCAAGCGUGAAGCAACGGCGUCGACUCUCUGGAACCUCAAGCAAACGAAGGAUCAGAAUCUUCGCGAUUACAUGGAACGUUUUAAGUCGGUCGUGUCAAGAAUCAAUAUCCCAGACCACAUCGCCGUCGAUGCCUUGAGGAACAAUCUCCUUGUGGAAUGUAAGUUCCGAGAAGAUCUUUAUCGAUGCACCGCCACGACGUUGCAAGAUGCCGUUGCUCGUUCUCACAACUUCAUUCGUAUGGAAGAAGACACUAAAGCCAUCAUGAGCAAGCACAACUCGGCGAAGCAAUCAGCGCCUAAAAAUGCCGUCACAGCUCACGUCGAACCUCGUCAGCAUGCUCAAAGCGACAAAAAUAACCGUAAGAGCGGUCUCCUUUACGUCGUCGACGAAAACGGGAAGAAGUGGAACACCUUUCAUCGGGAAACCGAUCCUCCAAGCGAAUCCCCUCGAGCAACAGCGCCAGCCACGGUCGCCCAGGUCGAUUCGGCAGCGGGAUCUUCCCGGACCCCACCAGGGCUUACUAAAUCGUGUAAACUCCACGGUGUAAAAGGUCACGACACUUCGGAGUGCAAAACACUUUUUGCGCAAUUCCUCUCCUCACUCGAAAGCGGUGAAAUUAAGAUUCCUCCUCCGAAGCCAAAAAGCGAGAACAGUUGGAGCAGAAACAAGGACAGGAAAAAUCAGCGAAAAAAUCAAGCAAAACCGCGUCAAGACGACCAAAAACCAAAGGUCGCCGAGCAAAUCCCACAUCAAGACGAUGACGGUGACGCCUCGGCUGACGAGGAUCCGCCGGCAGCCAGACAAAGGAUUGAAGUCAUUCGAGCCCAACCGGAGUCCUCAUCAGACGAAGAGAGCGAUCUCGAGGAAGCCCUCGACCCGUUGGACUUACGUGUACUCCUCAAACGAAAGACCACGCCAACGACUGACAAGACUCUCGGAUCAUCCGACCUCCGAGUCGAGCUCAAUGCUAAAAGAGCUAAGCAUUCGCCGAGCCCAGGAUCCUCAUUGGCAACUACGGAAGGCAAUCCUAUCGUCGAUCUACGAGAUCAGCUUAACGCGCGAGUCGGUGAUUUGCGUGCAAAACUGGACCACAAAAAGGCCGGGUCGCCGAAAGAAAGCGAAGACCUCCGAGCUCUUCUCACCAGGAAGCAAUCAAGUGUCAGGCCGCGGAUCAACGUGAUUAUGGGAGGAUCUCCACCUUGCGGAGACUCCGUACGAGCAGUCAAAGAUCACCGACGAAUGGUGGACACCUCGCAGCGCUGGCCGCAGAAGUUCCCAACUGAUCUCCCAAUCUCCUUCUCAACUGGAGACCUUGUCGGAGUAACUUUCCCUCACAACGAUCCUCUCCUCGUCGUUUUAGCCAUCGAUAAGUACGACGUCACCAAAGUGCUGAUCGAUACUGGUAGCUCGGUCGAUAUCAUUUUUCGCGAAACUCUCGAAAAAAUGGGAAUCGACUUAAAAGACGUGAAACCGUCAUCCAGGACUCUCACCGGCUUUAAUGGUUCUUCCGAAGUAAUCAUGGGAACUAUCCGUCUCUCGGUACAAGCAGAGGGAGUAGCACGGAUGGUCAAGUUCUCGGUAGUCAGCACCAAGGCUCCCUACCACGUGAUACUAGGCACUCCAUGGUUGUACUCCAUGCGUGCAAUCGCAUCCACGUACCAUCAGUGCGUCAAAUUCCCGGGAAUGGAUGGCACGACUAAAACAGUGAGAGGAGAUCAACGGGCCGCGCGAGAUCUCUUAAUCGCUACGGUCAAACUGCAGCGAUCUCAGUCACUAGUCAACUCGAUCUCACCUCCUAUCAGCAAGAUCUGCCCACAAAAGGAAGAGGUGCUCGAAGUCCCAGUCGACGAAUCGGAUCCAAGUAAAGUGCUACGAGUAGGCGCUUAUCUGUCGGACGAAAUGCAACGUGAUAUCACGGAUUUCCUGAAGCAAAACUUGUCUACCUUUGCCUGGUCGAUGACUGACAUGCAGGGAAUCGACCAGUCCAUCACGACUCACGAGCUAAACGUAGACCCAAAUAUUAAGCCCAUCCGACAGAAGAGACGAAAGUUGGGUCCCGAAAGAUCCAAAGCAGUUGUCGAGGAAGUCGAGCGCUUACUAAGCGCGGGCUCAAUAGCAGAAGUUCGUUACCCGGAAUGGCUCGCUAACCCAGUGGUUGUCAAGAAGAAAAACGGCAAGUGGCGCAUGUGCGUCGAUUUUACUGACCUCAACAAAGCCUGCCCAAAAGACAGCUACCCACUUCCGAACAUCGACAGACUGGUCGAGUCAACUGCUGGCAAUGAAAUGCUCACGUUUAUGGACGCUUUCUCGGGAUACAACCAGAUCAUGAUGCAUCCCGACGAUCGAGAGAAGACGUCGUUCAUAACUGAUCGAGGAACUUACUGCUACAAAGUAAUGCCCUUCGGGCUGAAGAAUGCCGGUGCGACGUACCAGCGACUUGUCAACCGCAUGUUCGCUAAACAGCUCGGUACAACGAUGGAAGUCUACAUCGAUGACAUGCUCGUCAAAUCAGUCCGAGCAAAUGACCACCUGGCACACUUAAGGGAGUGUUUCGACAUCCUAAACGCUUACAAGAUGAAGCUAAACCCGGCCAAAUGCACUUUCGGGGUAUCGUCCGGAGAAUUCCUUGGCUACAUAGUGACGCAGCGGGGAAUCGAAGCAAACCCGAAGCAAAUAUCAGCUGUCCUUGAUCUCCCCAGUCCGAGAAAUUGCCGAGAAGUCCAACGACUAACAGGCCGAAUCGCAGCGCUUAAUCGUUUCAUCUCCCGAUCCACCGAUAAAUGCCUCCCAUUCUACGAUCUCCUCCGAGGAAACAAGAAAUUCAUUUGGGACGAUAAAUGUGAGGAGGCUUUUAGUCAGCUCAAACAUUACCUGACGACGCCCCCUAUCCUGGCAAAGCCGGACAUAGGCGACGUUUUAUCUCUCUACAUUGCGGUCUCAUCCGCCGCAGUCAGCAGCGUGUUAAUCAAGGAGGACCGAGGAGAACAACGACCUGUUUUCUACAUGAGCAGGAGGAUGACCGGACCAGAAACCCGGUACCCGACACUUGAAAAGAUGGCCCUGGCCGUCGUCGAAUCAGCGAGGAAACUCCGCCCAUAUUUCCAGUCACAUUCGGUAGAAGUUCUCACCGACCAGCCGCUCAGAACUGUCCUGCAAAACACGAACAGAGCCGGCCGUCUUACCAAAUGGGCGAUCGAACUCGGAGAGCUCGACAUCACCUAUAAGUGCAGAACCGCUGCUAAGGCCCAAGUCCUCGCCGAUUUUCUCGUGGAGCUAUCUCCGGAACUCGCUCAAGAUUUGGAAACCUCGGAUUCAACAUGGAUCCUGCAUGUCGACGGUUCCUCGACAAACAAAGGCUCUGGAGCAGGAGUUCAGCUUCAAUCCCCAUCGGGAGAGCUCAUUCGACAGUCGUUCAGCUUCGGUUUCCCAGCAUCAAACAACGAAGCAGAGUAUGAGUCACUCAUCGCAGGCCUUCGCCUCGCCAAAGCAGUCAAGGCUAAGCGACUCAGUGCAUAUUGCGACUCACAGCUCGUCGCCAGUCAGUUCAGCGGUGAUUACGAUGCGCGCAACGAUAGAAUGGAUGCUUAUCUCCGAGUUGUACAAGCAUUGGCUAAAGAGUUCGAAUUCUUCGAGCUCACCAAGGUUCCUCGUGGAGAAAAUGUCUGUGCGGAUGCGCUAGCAGCACUCGGAAGCAAGCUACGCGAUCAAGUCAAAAGGACUAUUCCAAUUCACCGAAUCGAGAAACCAAGCAUCGACAUCUCAACGGAGUCAGCUAACUUCGUCACCACAGAACUCGAAACAACGCCCUUAUCUGAGACCAACGACGACUCCGAGAUGACAGACCAAGAUCAGCUACUACCCGACUGGAGGACUGAAUUCAUCCAAUAUCUCACCGCGGGCACACUUCCAACGGAUAAAUGGGCCGCAAGACGAUUAAAGAGGCGCAGCGCGCAUUACGUCGUCAUGGAAGAAGAACUCCACCGAGUAACGGCUAACAAGGUCCUCCUGAAAUGCAUUUUCGCCGAGCAAACACAUUUAGUAAUGGCAGAAACCCACGAAGGAGCGGGAGGAAACCACUCUGGAGGUCGAUCAUUAGCCUUGAAAAUUCGGAACUUGGGAUUUUUCUGGCCAACUAUGAAUACCGAUUGCGAAGCAUAUGCCCGGCGAUGCGACAAAUGCCAACGACACGCUCCGAGUAUCCACAGUCCAACCGAGCUACUGCGAACUUCCGCAGCACCUUACCCAUUCAUGCGAUGGGGGAUGGAUAUCAUCGGACCAAUGCCGAAUUCUCGCCAACGUCGCUUCGUGCUGGUAUUAACCGACUAUUUCACCAAAUGGAUCGAAGCAGAAGCCUUCGCGCAGGUUACAGAGAAGGAAGUUCGUGGCUUUGUCUGGAAGAACAUCAUCUGUCGCCACGGACUACCAUACGAGAUCGUGACAGACAACGGAUCACAGUUUAUGGCCGGAAGUUUUAAAGAUUUCUGCAACAAAUGGAACAUCCGACUAAGCCCUUCGACGCCAAGAUAUCCUCAAGGAAACGGACAAGCAGAAUCCUCGAACAAGAUUAUCAUCGACGGAAUCAAGAAGCGCCUUGACCUCAAAAAGGGACAUUGGGCCGAUGAACUUGACGGCGUGCUCUGGUCGCACCGGACAACCCCCCGAGGAGCGACAAAAUCUACUCCUUUUUCACUCGCUUACGGGAUGGAGGCAAUGGCUCCAGCCGAGGUCAACGUAACAAGUCUCCGCAGGUCCAAGAUGCCCCAGCAUGUCGAGCUUAAUCAAGAGAUGCUGCUAGAUGCCCUAGAUGGGCUAGAGGAGAAGCGCGACCAAGCCUUACUUCGAAUCCAAAACUACCAAAACCAAAUCGAGAGUUACUACAACAAAAAGGUCCGAUCGCGUCCUCUCGAUCUCGGCGAUCUGGUUAUGAGAAAAGUCUUUGAGAACACCAAGGAACCCAAUGCUGGAAAACUCGGCGCAAAUUGGGAAGGACCGUAUAAGAUCACUCGAGUCGUCAAACCAGGAGUAUAUCGACUCGAAACUUCCCGCGGAGCAGCAGUUCCACGAGCUUGGAACUCCAUGCAUCUUCGUCGCUUCUACUCGUAAAACGAGUACCCUUUCGGAACGAGUAAAAUGAUCUACAUCACCGUUUUACUCGCAAAAAAAAAAAAAAAAAAAAAAAAAAAAAAAAAAAAAAAAACCGAGUAGAUGCACCCUACGGUCACUUCUACUCGAUGAUGAACUCCAAGUAAAUGACUACCAAGUUACUUUUACUUGGACCAAAAUGAACUACGAAAGGCUUGAUCCUCCCCGGAGGUACGUAGGCAUCCCCUCUACGGGGUCCAGCCCCAACCUAACAAAAAAUACAUCUCGUCUCACUCCCUCGAGUAAACAAUGACGAGAGCCAAAUGAUGCUAGCCCCUUAACUCGAAAGCGGCGCACGAGCACUCAUCCCACUUAGUCGACGAUAUCCUGAUCAAAUAUCGAACGAAGGGAAAAACAGAGUUCCGCGUCACCGAUGCUCAAGGCAUUGACCGACUCACGAGCGAAAUUUCUGGAUCUUACUGCAAAUCGAAGAAUAAUGAGUUGGCCGACCAAAUUCCUCUCGGUUACCGCGGGGCAUCCAGAUACCUUUUCCUCGAAAACUCGUUAAAAGUCCAAACAUUUAAAACUCGUUAAAACUUAGUUACGGACAAGGCAAACGGGAACGACUUAACGAGAAACGAGUUACGAUUCGAAGCAAAGCAAACAUUUGAUAAAAGCCUUUUAAAAAAAAAGGGGAAAAACAUCCCGAGUAUCGAACAACAAGACCCAUAUGGGCCAACGGUACAUAAAGGUUCAAAGGUCUCAACGAGACCAAAGCACAACAUAAGGAGAAAAAGUCUACUAAAAAGCAAACUGCGAAAUUACAACAGGAAGAGAAGGUCCUCGACCAGAUAGCCCUAUUCGUCACCAGCGGGAAGGUUCUUGCCACCAUCACCGUCUUUUUCUCCGGGACCCGAGAUGCGACCAAAUUUGGCUGGGGCUGGAGCAGUCGCGUCCGCAAUAGGCAUCCCCGCGGGAUCAUCGUCACCCUUCUCCGGGUCUUCCGACGAGGAAGCAGAUGAGCUGGCAUUCUUCGACGCCUUAGCGGGGGAAUCUGUUAGCACAAUGGUCGGCACUGCCCCGUCCUUGUGAACAACCGCUCCCGCCGAUGUCUGCUUCGCGAGAUCAGCAUCUUGAUCGGUGGGUUGGUUGGAAGAUACAGCAGUUUGAGCGGGCUUCUCCACCGGAUCUUCAGGACGAAGAGGAGUACGCAGAGCAAUAGCGGCCUCCGAAUCGAUCAGAUUAAUAUUCGACCCAAACGGGUCAAGCUGACGCCAAAUUUCCUCGAUCAAAAAUCGAGACUCCAACACUAGCGGAGAAAGGCAAAGAUCUUCCGCCGGAAUCUCCUUUACCUCCAAACGCUCUGCUUCUUCCUCGUAGUGCUUCUCUUGCCCGAUGAAGAAGUCGAUGGUUUCCUGCGGGAUCUCAACACCAGAGGCCUUGAUUUGCUCGAGACAUUUCCUCGUCCCGAAGGCUUGACUAUAGAGACACCGAGCAUCGUCGUAUUUGUCCCUUUUGUCUUCACGAAGGGAAAUCCUGUGAAAGCGUUUCUCGGCUUUAGCGAUCAUGGCAAUCAGCACGCGAACCCUCUCGUGCGUGACCUCGUAUUUACGAGAUUUCCGAAGCCUGUCCAUCUCCUCGGAAUGCCUUAGCAAUUCCGCAGCCAUUUUUGCCUCUAGAUCAGCCUUUUCCUUCCGCUGCUUAUCCACCACGAACUCGAGAUUGUUCAUCGCCUCCUUACACAUCUGCAGUUCAGCCGCAUCAGACGUUCGCGUCUCGUCAAACGCUUUCCUGAGAGAUUUCUCCCGAGCAAUGGCUUCAGCCUUUUCCCGCGAAGACACCCGAAGAGCCUCCUCCGCUUUCUUCUUGGCUUCUUCGCUCUCACGGAUCUGCUCUCUGGCCCGCCUAAGGGCUGUGUCAUACUUCCCGACCAGAACAUUCCAGUCGCCGUGGCUCUGAUCAAAACACCAAAAGACUUAGCCAAAAUAAUUUAAGGUUCGGAAAAGAAGGGAACGAACAACCGCUUACCUUUACAGACGAGCAAGAGGCGUGCUCAUACUCAUCUUUGAAGAUGAGAUCUCCCACUGAAGGGAGUUGAUCGGGACCGCCUUUGACCAACCGUAACAGGCGAGCACAAUCUUCCGGGUAGCAAGCCAGCGGAAGCUCACGGUUAAACUCGAAUCUGAACUCAUCUGCCGGGGUUUCCUUAGGGCGACCGGAUACUCGGGUCUCAGAUCCCUCCGUGACAUGAGCAGGGGACUCAUUCCUCGAGCGGUCCCGCUGUCCUCCCAAAGUCGAUAUUCCCCUCGGAACCUCAGUAGAAGGUAGAUCACCGGCCAAGGUUCCACGGGAUACCUCCUCGGUGACUCGACUCUCCCGUCUCCGUCGGCGGAGGGCGAUAGUCUCAUUCUCAUCAUCCUCCGAGGUCCCAACCUCAGGGAUAGCUUCAGGAACUAGAGCCUGAAGUUCCUCUUCGCAGACCGAGGAUGAGCGGGGCAUAGCCAAUUCUUUCUUCUUCAUCUUUUUCUUCUUAGGAGCGUCCUCGGCGGGCAAAUCUCCGGCUUUCCGUUUCUUCCCCCCUUUUUUAGAGGAACCGUCUGCCCCAGUUUGCCCGGGCUCAGAAGAUUCCUUCGGAUCCUCGGCCUUUUUCUUGCUUUUCUUCGAGGAGCCACCAGUACGCGUUUGCUCAGCAGCAAUUGGGGUCGCCUCUACCGCUUCCAACCCCGAAGGGCCAACCCUGCUCCCAGAAGCGCCUCGCUUGGCGCCUAUCUUUUCAGCCACAAUAAGGCUAAGGUCGGGCAAUUGCUUCAUUGUCUUGGCUCGGUUGAUCUCUUUCUGCUCAGCUUGAGUAAAGAGGGAUAGUCUCUUCGAAGUCGAUUGAUUGACGAGGGGAAGCAAGUUUGAGAUCCAACGUUCUGCAAAGAAAAAUUCUUAAUACACGCUAUUCACUUGCUAGGAAAAGCAGAAGGAAAACCAAAGAAAACUCACGACUAGCAAUUUGAUCUAUGGAUCUUUGAAUUCUCUCCCGAGUAAAGUCCUCCCAGUGAUCUUGCUUCUGCAGCGCAACGAUCCGAGCACUCUCCUUCCAAUCCUCGGGAUAAGUGGCGAGAUUCGGAUGACCAACUACAAAAGGAAAAGAGACGCGUUAGACGAGCACAUGCUACAAUUGUCACAUAAGAUACUGCGCAGUACCCAUCUCUGCAUUCCAGAGAACGCGAUAACCAGACUUCGGAGGCUCCUCGAACGCUGAUCUGUUCGACUUCACAUAAAAAUACGAACGCUGCCAGUCUGAGGUUUUGGUCGGGUACCCCGUGACCACGUUAUAAUUUGGGCGCAUCCUCGUCGAGACGAGCCCAUCAUCGGAAAUUGAGACUGAAGUCAACUCCUCAAACGACCUCACACUCAUCGAUGUCCCUGCCUCAGCCGCGAUCACCGAUAGAACGACCAUUAACCGAAGAGAACCGUUCAUCAACUGGCUUAAGGCGACUCCUCUGCGAAACGCGUAAGCCGUGACAAUUCGGGGAAUUGGAAACCACAACUUCGUGUCGCUCCGAAAAUACGAUUCGUAAAUGCAUUGAUAUCCCUUCGGAGGCGACCAAGGCCUCUGAUCCCGUUUUGGAACGAUGAACGAAACCCCAUGUGCAUUGAGAUCUCGGAGGAGAGCUUCCACCGACUCCACGGUAGACUUCGUCCUCUCGACGUUGGACCAAUUUUGUCCAUCGACGACCGAAGGUCGAAUUCUCCAAACCUCCAGGGGGCUCUCCUCAGCAAAGAUGUUCCCAGGGUAGUAGCUGAUCGGGACAAUCGAGGCGUCGACCGCUUCUUGACCGUCGUCGUCACCCCGGAACUGUUCUCUCGCUUCCGAGACCAAGAGACGCUGCGAUAAAUCCAUAUUCCCCGUAUCCAUCAUCGCUUCGUGAUGGAUAUCGCCGGAGUCCCGAGAAGAGACCGCCCCCUUUCCCUUUUGUUCUCGCGUCAAACGAUGAGAUGACGACAUCUCGGAUACUCGCAGAUCUAAAAACAGAGAUAAAGAGAGAGAAAGGAGCGUAGAGAGAGAAAGUACCUUUAGCGCUGCGGAGGAAAAUGAAAAGAAGUGGAGAGGGGGUCGCUAUUUAUAGAGAGAGAUAAGCGCGGGGAUCAAAGCGUCAUCAUUACGCCUAAUAAGGCCUAAGUGGGCCUAAACCCAAUUAGGCGCGUGAUCAACAGAUGCGCCGGUCCGUAUUCUCGACCCGUAAGCGUUUAUCUCACGAUCGCAACGCGUGAGAAACGGACGCAUCAAUCCAUUCCCUCGAUCGAGGAGUAUCAAUUGAACGGAUUGACUCCCCAACGACCUGUCAUUUGCUCGGAUUGAACCUUUUGUUCUCCGAACCACAGGCACCAAAUUCAUCAAAGAUCGAUUGCUCGACCAUCAAUGAACUGGGGGGGGACUUACUGUUGGGGAUGGAUUUAACCCAUCCACAAAGCCCAUCGAACAAAGGGCCCAGUCCAGCAAACCGAGUCGACAUCGGCGCAGAAGCCGAUUCUCGAGAGAUCGACUCGACAGGGAGCGCUGAUAGUCGAAGCAGAGAGCAAGCGGAGCGAGGUUGAUCGACUCAACGGCUCAGCGAGCAUCUCAUAAUCAGGCCCGAAAGGCCGACAAAGCCCAAUUAGUAAAAAGAGUUUAGGUUAAGGUAAUCGAACAGAGUAUAAAAGGAGAGGAAAGCAAAGGAGAAAGGCAUCGACACUUAGCUACACAAACUUAGCGGCGAGAUUAGGGUUUAUCAUCCGUACAAUCAUCUCUCUGCUAUUUGUACUUUUCCGGUUUAAGCUCUCACGAGCUCCGGCUUGCUUUUACUUUCUCCACCUUUGUAACAUCAUCUCGAAAUCUAAUAAACGCCUCUGUUCGACCCAUUUCUAGUAUUGUUUACUUCUUCUGAGACCAAACUCACCUUAAACAUAAACUAUAACUAACUACAAAUUUACAUGGCUAAUAAAUUUGUCUUUAAUACUUCUUUAUCGUUGCUCAGCAAACGUGUAAGUAGCCAGCUAAUAAAAAAAAAAUACAAUGUUAAUAUCUCAGCCUUGGGUUAUUCCUAAUCACAACAUAGUCCAAAUAUAAAAAUAGCUGGCUAAUAUAUGCUCUCUCGAGUGUAGUAUAAUUGCAGCACCAUCGUAUUAUUAUUUGGAUAGCUAAUAAACAUUAUGUACAUGUGUAAAUUACUUCCAUAACUUUUCCACUUGACCCACUUGAGCUAGGUGAUUAGGUAGGUUCUUCCUGCAACAUCGAAGUGAACAUAAGCGGAAGGAGACAACAAAGGCAGUGAAGUGGGAGAGAUGAAAAGGUGCUUCCUUUCUAGAGAACUUUGAGUCUUGUUCAUAGUAAAGCUUGUAUUUUUUUCUUUUCUCGCCGGAAAGCCGUACGAUCUGCAUCGUCGGAGACGUUCGCCGAUUCGUACAUCUUCACUAGUCGACGAUUAAAUCUCUGGCUCCGGCAAUCAACGAAGCGGAUAAUUUUUCGGUGAAGACACUGGUCUUUCCUCUUGGAAAAUGCACUGUACAUCUUCGUACAGAGGAAAAUAUAAGAGAAUCUAUACUAAAUCCUUACAAAAUAUCCCUGUUCGGAAACUCGCUAGGCGCUACGCGUGCGGCGCAUCCGGGCCUAGCGAUUUAUCGAAAAAGCGGAAAAAAAUCGGGAUAUACGCGGGGCGGAAUUUUCUGUAUUUUAUACGUAUAAUACUCUAUUUAUACGUAUAAUACAAGAUAAUACAUUUUAUGUAACAAGUUAUCUAAAGUUUUAGAGAUAUAGUUUGGUCUAGUGGAUUUUGAGUGUUAGUAAGUUUGCAAGUCACGUGUUCAAAGAGUAAAAAACUUGUUUUAUUUUUAUUUUUAAUGUUUUCUUUUAAUGAGUGGCAAAAUAGUAAUUAAGUCUUCUUCUUUUUCCCAUCGUUCUUGUUUUCUGCAUUUUCCACCAUAGUUAACAUAAUAAAUCUAUCACCAAUCACUUAAAUUCUGUUGUUUUCUACUUGUUUGUUCAGUAUAUUUGUAGAUCUCUUAUUUCAUAUUCGACUUCAAGCAUUAAAAACCCAAAAAAAAAAAUUAUUUUUGAUAAAUCCGAUUUUUCAUCCGAUUUUGACGAACUCGCCACGGUGAGUUGCCGAAGAGCGAGUACUCGUCCGAUUAAACGGUAACUCGGACGAGUUUUAGAACAUGGCAAAAUAUCGGCAAAAUAAAAUCUUCCCUCUCCAGCUAUUAAGUGUACUUCCCUAUAGCCUACAAGGUUUAUCCACAACUUGAGGUCAAUUUCGUCUUUACAUUUCAGCCAUAAUGCCAAUAAAACCAUAAGUUUUACAGUUCUUGGUAUUAACCUAAUUUCAUAAAUUUCCUUGGUUUUUAAGCAAAUUAUCCCUAUAUAUAACAUAUGAUUAAAUCAACACAAAGGUAUUUUGGUAAUUUGCUUACUAAUCUCAUUUGAAUGAAAAUGAAAAUAAAGAAACAAACAUAAGAUUUAUUUAGAUGAUUCUUCUAGAUGAGCUAUCUGGAUGGACAAACAAACAGUCACAAAAAUCUGAAUGGAUCAUCUGGAUAGAUCAUACAAAUGGAUCAUCUCGAAAGAGAUGAAAGAUGCUGAAACGAACAGCCCCUUGUUUCUUUUGAUCCGGUGCAUCUUUGGCAUGAGGUCGACAUCUAUGGUGAAACUCUAGCUUUCUUGCUGAUCAAGUCAUCUCGUCUAUUAUUGGAUCCCCAUCUGGUUUUCUAGUAUUGGCUAAGGUGAGGUCUACUAUAUAAAUCUCGUACCAGUGUAGAAUUUUCUCUAUGUUAGUUUAAAUUUCGAAUCAUAAUCUCUUUGUUUGAAUUGAAUUUGUUUGAGUUUUGAUUGUUAGUUAGUUCAUUCAUGAUAUACUAGAAUUAGGAGUCUAGAGAAUUCAAUCGUUUAUUAGAUUGUGUGAUGUUAAGAGAGGCUAUAUAUAUAUAUAUAUAUAUGUGUACACAUAGUUUUGAGUACAGACUAUAUGCAAGGGUGGGGGUUCAGAGAUGUCUGGAUUAUCAACGCGGUGGGGGCUCAGAGACGUCUGAACUAGCUACACAAUUUUGUGGGGCGUGGUGUAGAGAUGUUUGCAUUCGAUGCAACUUUGGUGGGCAGAGGUACAGAGACAGAUUGUACUAAUUAUGCCGCGUAUGUAUAUCCGUAUGAGGAAAUGCGGGGUGUGGUCUACCUAUACACUAUCAGCGCAUUGGUCGUUCCGUGUGAUGCUUUAGGCGUCUGUUUCUUCAUUUUAGAGCUAAACAUCCAUAGUUGGGGAGUUCUCUUUAUUCAAGUCAGUGGUUUGUAUAGUUAGCAUCUCAUACUUCACUGAGUGAUUCUCCUUUAUUACUCACUCCUUUUUUUCUCUUUACAGGUUAGCACAGCGAGUAAUCGUAUAUCCGGAGGGUUUGGUUUUGGGAUCGAUGUGAUUUUAUUUUGGUUUUAAUUCAUGUUUUAUAAGUUUUUUCAAUAUAUUUUACUUUGGCUAUUAAAUUUAAAAAUGAUUUAUCGCACAUUUACUUUAUUUAAUGUUUUAAUAUUUAUCCGAUUUUUAAUAAUUGGUUUAAUUCGAUAUUUUACCAGUACAUAACAGGCCCUUCUCCAGAAGGGAGGAAACUGUUGUUACGAAAGCACCAACACAAAACCAGAUUGGGAUGAUAAUGACUCUCUUGCUUAACCCUCAUCCCAAGGUAAAUAAAGACCUCAGCAAAGCCGCAAGUGCAAUCCAUCCAACUUACCACAACAGCUCAAACUGAGUAACAAGCAAAACCAGAACGAAACCAACAAGAGAAGGACAAAGCAAAAACCAGAGCUUUGCAAGUCCAAAUGCUAAAACAAACCUAAAACUCUACCAAAUGCCACAAGAGACCACACAUGAGACCUGGGAGAGAGUACCAAGAGAUAAUGCCUUCACGAGGAUCAACCCAAAUCUCGAAAUCUGUUGUAACCAACUGUUGAAACAAGAAUCUGUCUACUCUACUAGAGACGACAAGCCUAUAUCUCCAUCAGUAAUUACACCAAUCCCUUGGGAAGGAAGAAAGCCAAAUAAACCCAUCAGAAAUAGACGAUGAAACACCCAUCAUUAAGAUGGUAAGCCGAGACCGAAUUAACAACCAUCGAAAAGAAUCCCACACCGGCACGGAUCUAACUACGAACAUAAGAAGUAAAAGCAAAAGAAAGAGGAUUGGGACCUCUCCGGAGAGGCCCAGAUCUGAAACUUGAAAACUUGGCGGCAAAAAGAGAGAGACUGCGGACUAGGGCGAGCCAAGUUUAAUUAUGUGACAUCAUGAUGAUUAUUAGCUUUUGUUUCCUCUUAGUCCAGUUAUCGUUUAAUAUUCCAUGAUCGUUAGACUAAAUGGUACGAAAGUUUUCAAUAUACUUUGAAUGUAUUGAAUCAUACUAUUGAGACCACCAUACUUGCGGAAUACUAUAGCCCUGUUCGUUCUCUUGACGCUGCGGUAGCGACCGGCGGCUAAAAAAUGCAAAGGAAAUAUAAUAAUUAACAGCAUCUUCUUUCAAUAAUUGACGCUGGCUAUCCAAAAAUACCAGCUUUCUUUAACUUCGCUCAACUCCGGAUUUUAUGGCGUCACUAAAUUGUAACAAUUUCAGUCGCUGUGCUGUUGGCGUUCUGUUUUCACAACAGUGAACGAAAGGAUGGAUCUGUUAUACCGUGUAUAUUUUGAGCCGCUGAACGCUGACGCAGCGUCAGCAAAAAGAACAGGGCAAUGCUAUGUGUUUUCUAAACGAAAACUACUCCAUAUGCAAUGUUGGCAGCGUGAGAACUAAUAACGUGUAGAUAUAAAAGUAGUUGACAAAAUGAUACAAGUUUGUGGAAGUGAAUUAUUCGAUGGGAUGAAAAAGUCAUGGACUAUGAAACACAACAUUUUGCUUGCCUGCUAGGAUCGUCAUAAUAAUAUAAUUUCCAAUUUGCUUGCGAAGUAACUUAGGAUGUAUAUUAACUUAGGAUGUAUAUAUAUAUGCAAGUUAGGACAAAAACUAACAACAAGAGAAAAAAAAGAAAGAAAGAAAGUGGUGGGGAGAGAUGAAAGGGGUACAUAACAUUUACCACCAUUCUUACACCUUCUCGUUCUUGUUAGUCUUCCUUGCCUUGAUUCUAUUUCAUCCUGCCCUUUCGACCUAUGUCAACACUAUGUCGUCUUCAGAGUCUCUCACAAUCUCAAGCAACAGAACACUUGUAUCUCCCGGUGGAGUCUUCGAGCUUGGUUUCUUCAAACCCUCGGGACGCUCGCGAUGGUAUCUCGGAAUAUGGUAUAAGAAAGUCUCCCAGAAAACCUACGCAUGGGUCGCCAACCGAGACAACCCUCUCUCCAAUUCUAGUGGAACCUUCAAAAUCUCGGGCAACAAUCUUGUCCUGCUAGGUCAGUCUAAUAACACUGUUUGGUCGACAAAUCUUACUAGAUGUAAUGCAAGAUCUCCAGUGAUAGCAGAGCUUCUUCCCAACGGUAAUUUUGUAAUGAGAUACUCCAGCAACAGAGACUCAAGUGGAUUCUUGUGGCAGAGUUUCGAUUUUCCGACAGAUACUUUACUUCCGGAUAUGAAACUAGGUUACGAUCUCAAAACAGGGCGCAACAGGUUCCUUACAUCAUGGAAUAGUUCAGAUGAUCCGUCAAGCGGGAAUACCACGUACAAACUCGACCUUCGAAGGGGAUUGCCUGAGUUUAUUCUUAUAAAUACAUUUUUGAAUCAACGUGUUGAAAUGCAAAGGAGCGGUCCUUGGAAUGGAAUGGAGUUUAGUGGCAUACCGGAGGUGCAAGGAUUAAAUUACAUGGUUUACAAUUAUACGGAGAACAGUGAGGAGAUCUCUUACUCGUUCCAAAUGACCAACCAAAGCAUCUACUCCAGAUUGACAGUCAGUGAGUUCACACUCGAUCGAUUCACGCGGAUCCCGCCGUCAUGGGGAUGGAGCCUGUUCUGGAGUUUACCAACGGACGUGUGCGAUUCUCUUUACUUCUGUGGAUCUUAUUCUUACUGCGACCUAAACACGUCACCUAACUGUAACUGUAUUAAUGGGUUCGUUCCCAAGAACCCGCAGCAGUGGGACUUGAGAGACGGAACACAGGGGUGUGUGAGGACGACGCAGAUGAGCUGUAGUGGAGAUGGGUUUUUGCGGCUAAACAAUAUGAAUUUGCCGGAUA